GAGCUGCACCGCCCUCUCCAUCCCUCCAGGCGCCCUGUGGUUCGCUGAGUCUGCGCCUAGUCUGGCGCUCUUUGGGGUCUCCGGUUUCCUCCCAGUCGCGCAUCCAGUGGGGGCCUAAAAGCUCAAGAGUGUCACAGCUUCCCCUCCCGGGAUCUAAGGUCCUAACUAAGGGAAUCCCCUCACCUCUCCCCACUGGGGCGCAGUCUGACGUGCUCGCUGCUCAGAGCACGCACACAGCUACCGGUUAAUUUAAUUUCUUCUAUUUUUAAUGAAAUGAGUGUCCUCUGUCAGGGUCCACAUCUGUACUGGUGGAAUUAGGUUGAAGUCUUUCAUGGAACUACCCUCCGGGUUCUGCAGUCACAGGAGCCCCUGGCACUCGCCUUUCCCAGGGACAGAUGCUGAGCUCCACUUCAUCGGAAUGCUAAGUGUCCACAGCAUUGCUUUAAGGCUGCCGUCAGAAGUUGUGGCCCAGGUUAAAGUUGGAUCCUCCUACCUUAAGAAAUCCAGAGAAGGGGCUGGUGAGAUGGCUCAGCAGAUCCCAUCUCUGCAUCUGUACUGCUGUAAGGAAAUGCCUGUGCUGAAGGCACUGCGUGUUUGUGUGCUGACUCUUCACAAUCACUGGAGAAAAUCUUCAAGGAGGAAUGCGUAGCUCUAAACAGUGACAGCUGCUUAUGCUCUGAGCACAGAUGGGAAGUCUAUUUCCUUUUCAGCCAGAGCCUCACUCUGCCCUAAGGACAGAUACGUAAGGGACAGACUCCUCCUAGCCCUCUUCCCACAUCCACAAAGGACUUGCCAGUGAAGACACCUUCUCCCCUCCUUUUGAAUAAGCCUUCCAGUCUCCCAGGUUUGCAUCCCUCCCAUGACGCCAGGGCCACUUCACAGCAUCUCCUCUAUACUCUCACAUGAAUCUCAAAAGCCACAUGUCUAAUUACCCCCCCUGGAUCUUUUCAUCUCACCAUACUAAAAACUCAACCUAUCCUCUACAAGACAAGACAAGACAAGACAAGACAAGACAAGACAAGACAAGACAAGACAAGACAAGACAAGACAAGACAGACAAGACAAGACAAAACACAAUAUAAGUCCAUUUUAAGGGUCUCAGGGUUUUGAGGGGGAAUAGAAGAGAACCAGGGUCUCAUCUUUGUGAAUGUGGGGGAAGGGUAAAUGCUAAAUAUUUUUACAGGUUUAAGUGUACCAAAUCAACAUAAUUAAAAGACAAACUAGGGGGCAAGCAAUUCAAUUAUGUCAUGGGGUACCUGAAGAGAAAAACUCCUGAGAAAGUCCUGAAUAAAUUGAAUGGAGCCUUUAUUAGCUACUCACAGGACUGUCCCAAGCAGAUUAACAGGAAAACCUGCAGUUAUGAUGUGUACAGAGAGACUGCUCUAGACAUCUGCAACGAGCAAGCCUUGUUUAUAGAAGUGGAGUAGUAACAGUGAAAUGGCCAGGCAGUCAAUCUCUAGUUCUGGAUCAUAUCAUAUAGGAAUUUAGGGCUGGUCCAGAGGGGCCAGUUUUACCGAUACUUUUAGCACUUGAAGUAUUCUUAGGAAUAACUUUAUGAGAUAGCAUAACUAUAGUUUAAUAGCCUACUACAUUAACACUUGUAAAUGAAUAAAAAUAAACAUAUUAGUCUGUAAAUAUGUGUUGAGGGAUGAGUUCUAUUUCAUACUGAAAAUGGACCACCUAAACAGUGAAGGUGCUUUCUACUAAUCUGGUAACUUGAGGUUGAUUCUGGAACUCACAAGGAAGAAAUUUGAAAACCAACUCCCACAAGUUGCAUACACACACCCCCCCAUAACUGUGCACACAAAGAAAUAAUAAAUGUCAAACAAAU
rnacentral:lncRNA from 1 species